GUGAGGAAUAUUGGGCAAUGGGCGCAAGCCUGACCCAGCCAUGCCGCGUGAAGGAUGAAUGCCCUAUGGGUUGUAAACUUCUUUUGUACGGGACGAAACUCCUGGUCGUGACCGGGAUUGACUGUACCGUGCGAAUAAGCAUCGGCUAACUCCGUGCCAGCAGCCGCGGUAAUACGGAGGAUGCAAGCGUUAUCCGGAUUCAUUGGGUUUAAAGGGUGCGUAGGCGGAAUAAUAAGUCAGUGGUGAAAGCCUGCGGCUUAACCGUAGAAUUGCCAUUGAUACUGUUAUUCUUGAGUAUAGUUGAGGUGGGCGGAAUGUGUAAUGUAGCGGUGAAAUGCUUAGAUAUUACACAGAACACCAAUUGCGAAGGCAGCUCACUAAGCUGUUACUGACGCUGAGGCACGAAAGCGUGGGGAGCAAACAGGAUUAGAAACCCGUGUAGUCC
rnacentral:rRNA from 1 species